rnacentral:lncRNA from 1 species
GAGCCUUCAGAAAUGAAGAUCCAAAGAAACAGGGGAAAACCAUGUAUGUUUAUGAACAGUCAUGCCAAAGUAUGAUUGGAGGACAAAAAGGUAAGCAUCACUGUGUGACUCAGUUCUGGCCAAUUAUAUAGGAAGAAAGUCUCGGAUGAAGAAAGUCUUUUCUUUGUUAAUGAAAAGGAGAAUGCCUCUACAAGAAAAGAUCUUUUUCAAUACCACUCUGCUGCCCUCUUCGUACCUUGAUGUUGUUUGGAGCUACAGCACCCAUUCCAAGAUAAUGAGGUGGCCUUUGGCAUCACAUCCCUAUGAAGUUCCUUCCUCACUGAAUAUGGGCUGGUCUGUGACUUCUGUAACAAUUGAACAUAGCAGAAGAUAUGCUGUGCCUAUUUCAGAAACAUGCCUCAAGAAGACUUGGCAGUCCUGGCUUUUGCACUUUGGGAUCCCUUAG